rnacentral:lncRNA from 1 species
UUUAGAUUGUGCAUUGAGAUUUUGCUGUUGGAGUUUUUAAAUUUACAAGUGGUUUUUGUGGUAUUAAGUUUGAGCUUAAUGUUUGUGUAUUUCUUGGAUCUUGGCCAUGAAUGAUGCUGCUACUGAGUUGUUGUUCUGCUUUGUCUUUUUUUUCUAUUUUAUGUACGUGUUUUAUAUAUAUAUAUAUAUAUAUAUAUACUUCAUUGUCCUUAGAAGAUAGGUUGAGGGUCAUGG